rnacentral:rRNA from 1 species
CAGUCGCCACGGGAAAACGGAGGGGGCUAGCGUUGUUCGGAAUUACUGGGCGUAAAGCGCACGUAGGCGGUUAUUCAAGUCAGAGGUGAAAGCCCGGGGCUCAACCCCGGAACUGCCUUUGAAACUAGAUGACUGGAAUCUUGGAGAGGUCAGUGGAAUUCCGAGUGUAGAGGUGAAAUUCGUAGAUAUUCGGAAGAACACCAGUGGCGAAGGCGACUGACUGGACAAGUAUUGACGCUGAGGUGCGAAAGCGUGGGGAGCAAACAGGAUUAGAUACCCGCGUAGUCCAUGUCUCUUAUAC